GCUUGACCUCCACUUAUCCGAAAUGAGAGCAGAAGUUUGCGAGGAGCUGGUUAUCCUAGAGGCCAAUAUUCAAAGUCCUCGGAGUGCUGCUGUCCUGCUCCCCAUGGACAGACCCGUUUGCUGGUGUGUUUUGGCAAUUUGACCUGUGUUCCUGGUGCAAAUCCUUAGUGUGCGGACAGAGAACUGAAAAUCAGCCCCAGCACACGCGCCAGGAGACCCAGGAUACAUCUCACACAAGGAAAAUAAACAGAAAGCAAUACUGCAAAUACUUCCCAUCAGAAAACGACAACAAGCAACUUAUCAUAACUGCAAGAAAGCUAACAACAUUUCCACCAAGUGAUUUUUGGCACUGACAGCUGACUCGGAACAGUUGUUGGGGGCUGGGACAGAUGGACUUCAUAUAUAUUUUUUUUAAAAAAA